rnacentral:rRNA from 1 species
AGUGAACGCUGGCGGUAGGCCUAACACAUGCAAGUCGAACGGCAGCACAGUAAGAGCUUGCUCUUACGGGUGGCGAGUGGCGGACGGGUGAGGAAUACAUCGGAAUCUACUUUUUCGUGGGGGGUAACGUAGGGAAACUUACGCUAAUACCGCAUACGACCUACGGGUGAAAGCAGGGGAUCUUCGGACCUUGCGCGAUUGAAUGAGCCGAUGUCGGAUUAGCUAGUUGGCGGGGUAAAGGCCCACCAAGGCGACGAUCCGUAGCUGGUCUGAGAGGAUGAUCAGCCACACUUGAACGGGAGCAAGGUCCCGACCCCCACGGGGGGGAACGGGGGGGAAAAUUUGACAAAGGGGGGAAAGCUUAUCCAAGCCUACCGCGGGGGGGAAAAAAGGCUUCGGGUUUGAAAACCCUUUUUGUGGGAAAAAAAAGGAACAGGGUAAAACCCCGGUGGUCUGACGGUACCCAAAGAAUAAGCACCCGCUAACUUCGUG